AUAAGCAUUUAAUUAUUAAAUGUCAAAAUUAUCGAUUUACUGAAGGCGAUUGUCAGCACUGCUCCGCAUCGCUGCGAAGCAAAGCUGUUCAGCCAAGCAAUUUCCUGUUCAUCGUUCUUUCGUUCUCGAGUCGCCUUUGUGUGAAGAAAGAAAAAUGAGAGCUAAGUGGCGUAAGAAGCGUAUGCGUAGGUUGAAGCGUAAACGCAGAAAGAUGCGUGCAAGGUCCAAAUAAACCCGUAUUAAGUUGUUAAGGUCUUGUUUUAUACAUCUCCAAAC